rnacentral:rRNA from 1 species
UACGUAGGGUGCAAGCGUUAAUCGGAAUUACUGGGCGUAAAGCGUGCGCAGGCGGUUUUGUAAGUCAGAUGUGAAAUCCCCGGGCUUAACCUGGGAACUGCGUUUGAAACUACAAGGCUAGAGUGUAGCAGAGGGGGGUGGAAUUCCACGUGUAGCAGUGAAAUGCGUAGAGAUGUGGAGGAACACCGAUGGCGAAGGCAGCCCCCUGGGUUAGCACUGACGCUCAGGCACGAAAGCGUGGGGAGCAAACAGG